rnacentral:lncRNA from 1 species
GACUUUUUAAAAAUCACCAAAGUUUUUGGCAAACUUUAGGAGCUCUUUCCCCCACCCUGUAAUUAAAGCAGAAGUAAACAGUAAAAGAAUAUCAAAUUGCAGCUCGCUUCAGGAAUAGAUUCCCAAAUGGAGCUGCUGCUUGUCCUAACCUGUGCUUUGAGACAGAAGGACAGCCUCUCUGGGGAGCACUCUAAUGGGUCCCCAGAUCUGACACAUCAAGAUUAAGACCUGAAGAUUUGGAGCUGAGAGAGGAGAAAGGAACUCCAGGUCCAGGUGGGCUUUUUCCAUGGAGCCUGAGACUUAUGAUGCCAGGUGCCUGGACAAAGCUUCCAGGUUGCGGAUGCCGGUACCACGGAUGGUUCUCGGAGGAUGCAAGUAAAUUUCUAGAAUGUGGGGUAGAACGCAGAACAGUGUUCCAUGGCUUCUCAGAGGAGAUUUUUAUGGGCAUGCCAUUGCUUCCAGGUAACUGGUAAAUUCUACUCCCUGUGGAAGAUUCUGUAUCUCCAUGUCUACUUCUUAGGAGGCAGAUUUAGUCUGCCUACAAAGUCCUGCCACAUCACAAGGCAGGAAACCAGCA